UCGUGGGAAUUUCGAUUUCAAGAUUGUUGUUGUUGUCAGCUUGUUAUUUCUGCCUUCCUCGAUUAUUUAACAUAUCACUGCAUCUAACAUUGAGUCAGCGCAUCAGCAUGGAGCAGGACAGUGGCGCCAUCUGUGGAGUGGUGGGGUCGCCGCCACCGACGGUUGUAAGGUCGCAGGGAUUGGAUCUGGACUCACCGAGCACACAGCGUUACUGGAAGGAAGACCUACGGACGCUGGAGCUACAGGUGGAUGUGUUACAGACCUACCUACACCGC